GUUUGUAGAUCCACCACAGCAUAUUUUAAACUACAGCUCACUGUACCAGGUUGGGGAAUGCCAUGAAGUCUACAGCCCUGGCAUUGACUGGGACCUCUUGUUCCUCAUUUUCAGAAGUGAUAGGCAAAGCUGGUGCUUCCUGCAGAAGGCAGGAGGGAAUGGGAGUGCUGCCCAUCCUCAUGCCCUCAAAACCUACCCAGUGGGUCAGUCAAGGUGCAGCUACUAGGGGUUCCACCUUUCAUAUUCCUAUUGUCUUGAGCUCAUUCUUGGCCAGACCCGGAAGAUGAAGUCACAGAUGCAAGUACCGGUAUUUGAUCCCUACUGCCUUUUAGAGUGCUCUGAACGUUGCACUUGGAGGCAGUUCCAAGGUUCAUCAUCAUGUUUCAGAAUUGGAGGUUUAAGCUCUUAGCCCCCUCACCGAAGAUCAACAUGGCAGAGGGAACCAGUAAUGGACAUGAGUCGUAGUAAGGUAACUGCAAAAAGGAGGAAGUGUUUUCUUACUCAUUUUGUUUCAAGCUGCCUAACUCUUUAAAAAAUG
rnacentral:lncRNA from 1 species